ACUAGUGACAAGUCAUGGAUAUUCACUCUUUUCGAGGCCCGGAAAGGCUAUGGAGAAUUUCAGCCUGUCCGUGACCAUAGUUAAGCACACGCACCAGCUCAGAAAGGCUGUAAGUUGUGUUCUUUAGCUAUAAGUGAAUUAAAAUCUCAAAUGAUGUUAGUGUAAUAUCUAAAACAUGAGGGGGUUUUGUGAAAACUCAAUAAACCUUAGGAACCUGAUGUUGAAACCUUAGGUCAGGACCGGUUGGCUCCGCUAUAUAUAGCUGAUACAAUCUCAACAUCAUUUCAGCAAAGGAAGCUGUAGAAUAUAUAUCCACCACAGUGCUUUUUUGAUCAAGAGAGAGAGAUCACAUCAUCAGAAAGGAAUGGCACAAACAGGGGGACCGCGGGGAGGAGGACGGUCGUGCUGUUGUUGCUUAUGUGACCUCUGUAAUGCAGUGAUAUCAUGCUCUCAAGCACUGCUAACAUGUUGUGGCUUGUUUGGGAGCUGCUCUGGGAGCUAAUCAGGGACCUGCUAAUACCGGUUAUUGAACAAUCGUGAUGUUCCAGGCUUGUUGAUCACAAUAUCGUGUCUGUAAUGUUUUCUGUUUGAGUGUGAUUAAAUGUAAUAUAACUAAGAAACAAGCGAGAUGUGUUAGCAUGUUGCAAACGCAGUGUUGCAACUGGCUUAUCAGUGUUUGUCCCUUGAUAUCUACCAAAAGUUCGUGUGUAAUUUAAUCAGUUCGCAAAUCUUAAAUGUAAUAUAACUAAUAAACAAGCGAGAUGUGUUAGUA